UUUUUUUUUUUUAGAUUUUAUUUUUUAUUUAUUCAUGAGAGACAGAGAGAGAGAGGCAGAGAGACAUAGGCAGAGGGAGGAAGCAGAAGCCCAAUGGGGAACUUGUUCCCAGGACUCCAGGAUCACACCCUGAGCCGAAGGGAGAUGCUCAACCGCUGAGCCACCCAGGUGUCCCUCAAGCCAAGAGUUAAGAUAGUUAGUAGAGUUGGGUGAGGUAAAAUUUUUAAGAUAUAAGGGGAGUGACUCUAGGGGCCAAUAAAUUGUCAAUGCAAUAUGGGGUAGUAGAUAAUAUGGUCUAAUAACAAGAGAGUAAAAGCCUUAUGUUUUUAAGAAUUCAGGAAACAGAAAUAUCUGGAAACAGCAAUGAGGAUCAUCCAUCUUACCUCCAGGAUUUACUGUUUACAUUGUUUUAAAAAAAGUGUAAAUAAUAUCUGUGUUCAAAAAUACAAUCAGGGCAGCCCUGGUGGCCUAGUGGUUUAGCGCUGCCUUCAGCCCAGGGUGUGAUCCUGGAGACUGGGGAUCGAGUUCCACAUCAGGCUCCCUGCAUGGAGCCUGCUUCUCCCUCUGCCUCUCUCUCUUUCUCUCUGUAUCUGUUGUCUCUGUCAUAAAUAAAUAAAAAAUCUUUAAAAAAAAAUAGAAUCAUGUAAAAAAAAUAUAAUCAUGUUAGACUAUUUUUAAAAAUACAAGUGUCCUCGGGGUGCCUGGGUGGCUUAGUCAGUUAAGCAUCUGCCUUUGGCUCAGGUCAUGAUCCCAGGGUCCUGGGAUCAAGCCCCAUGGCAGGCUCCUUGUUCAGCAUGGAGUGUGCUUCUCCCUCUCCCUCUGCUCUUCCCCUUGCUCAAAUAAAUAAAAAAUAAAAAAUCUUAAAAAAAAAAAAUACAGUGCUCUUGGGGCACCUGGGUGGCUCAGUUAAGCUUCUGCUUCUGACUCCUAAUUUUGGCUCAGGUCAUGAUCUCGGGGUCAUGAGAUGGAGCUCUGCCUUGUACUCAUGCUGGACAUGGAGCCUACUUAAGAUUCUCUUUCUCCCUCUACCUCCAUACCCUCCAGUCUUAUCUUUCUAUACACCCUCAAUAUGUUGAAAGAGUUCCAAAUUUACAUCUUUAGCCUGGACCAUCACCUAUCCUAACUCCAUUCUUAAAAACCCAACUGCUGGGGAUCCCUGGUGUUUGUUAUACAAUGGGGCCAUAAUACAUAUUUGAUGAUGAAUGGCAGGGAGGGGCAGAGAGAGAGGGAGAGAAUAUCUUAAGCAGGCACUGCACCCAGUGUGGAGCCCAAUGUGGGGCUCAAUUUCACACCCUGAGCCAAAAUCAAGAGUCAGGCCCUUAACUGACUGAGCCACCCAGGUGCCUCUAAACAUCCACUUUUAUAAGCAACCUGGACUUUUUACAAUGUGCUGACAUGGAAAGGUCUGACAAGAUGGGGUUUGACAAGUUAGCAGUGGGGCUAUACACUCUAUAUAAUCAUAUACACAUAUGUGUAUAUAUGUUUGUAUGUAUGUAUGUAUAUAUGUAUACAUCAUAAACCACCAAGUUGCCCCAUCACUAAACAAUCUAGUUUGGGAACCACAAGGAAUUUAGUGACCUAAACCUCACAAUUUUUUCUUCCCAGAGUACCAUCACCAAUUCUGUAGUCCGAAUAUCUUCUUCUUCUUUUUUUUUUUUCAUUUUUAUUUAUUUAUGAUAGUCACACAGAGAGAGAGAGAGAGGCAGAGACACAGGCAGAGGGAGAAGCAGGCUCCAUGCCGGGAGCCCGACGUGGGAUUCGAUCCCGGGUCUCCAGGAUCACGCCCUGGGCCAAAGGCAGGUGCCAAACCGCUGCGCCACCCAGGGAUCCCGUCCGAAUAUCUUCAUGACAAGAGCCAUUAGUACCUUCUUGUGUAUCCCCUGAAAAAUACUUUAACUGGGAUCAUCUGCCCUAUACAUUCAAAACUAAUUAGAUAAAAGGCUGAAAGAGGCACCUUGGUGGCUUAGUCAGUUAAGCAUCAAAUUCUUGGUGUCAGCUCAGGUCAUGAUCUCAGGGUCAUGAGAUCUAGCCCUGCCACGGGAUUCGUGAUCAGCACCGAGUCUGCUUGAGAUUCUUUUCCUCUCCCUCCCCCUCUGCUCCUCCUAACCCCACUCCCACUUACAUAUGCACACCUGCACAUACACACUCUCUCACUUAAAUAUUUUUUUAAAAGGCUAAAAACAAAACUGUCUGAACUGACUAAACCAUAUAUACAAGGCUGUCUAUAAAGUAAUGGAUUACAUUGUACUAUGUUGGUUGUGAACAGUAUAAAAGGCCUUAAAGCUAUUACAGUUCAUAUAUCUCCUUCCUAGUCCUUAUCCACCUUCUCCCCACCUUAAUCCCUCACAAUUCCAUCAGUGCACCAAAUUUUAAAAGAAUUUUUAAAGGAAUUGAACAACAAUAUAAGUCUGGCAGAAAUCUGAAAUCACUCCAGGCUCAAACUUUAAAUCAUUUGCCUGUUGAGAACAGCCCUCAGAUGACUGUGACUCAGCAUUUUAUGGUGCCUGAGACAUGAAAUGAGAUAAAGGUCUUGUUCCCUUCAUGGCAUUAGCUAAAUAUGGAGCUAAAAUGAAAGAGCUACCUUAAAAACAAGAGUCAGUGGCUGAAGUGUUACAGUGCUCACACUGACACAGGUUUGACUCAAUAUGUGAUGACAGGGAAGAGAGUAUAUGUCAACUGAAACACACAGAACUGUUCUAAAAUAACCCAUUGACCUAUAAAGCUAGCAAAUAAUAUGGAUUGCAACUAACACUCAGAAAGGGAGAAAAUAUACAUAAAUGAAAACAAAAUUAAAAUAUGAACUAUGGUGCUGGUUUAGAGACAGGUAAAAAAUAACUUAGAGCUAAGGAGGGAAUUUAUCCUACUAUUCUUCAAUGGACUAUCAGAAGCUAAAAUUGAACAAGUGAGAAUUUUUUUCCUCUUGUUAAAAAAAAAAAAAAAAAAA
rnacentral:lncRNA from 1 species